AAUGCCUCACUCACCCUCAUUUAUACUCUAGAAAUGUUUACGAAUCUGUAUAGGAACAAACUUCUCUGCCAUAAGCCACUGGUCAUUGAUUUAAUAUCUGCAAGUUUACUGCAAAUGUUUGCACAUUCCUUAUUUCCAAACAGUGAAGAACAUUUGAAUUGGAUAUAUCAUUCCUACAGUCAGGGAUGGGAAAGGGCUUUACCUCUAUUUCUACUUCACUAUUAGCAUUACAUUGGUAUUCC